rnacentral:rRNA from 1 species
AACAAACGCUGGCGGCGUGCCUAAUUCAUGCAAGUCGAACGGGGAAAGCUUUCGGGUGAGUACUAGUGGCGCACGGGUGAGUAACGCGUGGAUAAUCUGCCUUAGAGUAGGGGAUAACUAGUCGAAAGAUUAGCUAAUACCGCAUAAGACCACAAGAACUGCGGUUCAAGAGGUCAAAGGUUUUUCGCUCUAAGAUGAGUCCGCGUAAGAUUAGCUAGUUGGUGAGGUAACGGCUCACCAAGGCAACGAUCUUUAACUGGUCUGAGAGGAUCAUCAGUCACACGGGAACUGAGACACGGUACAGACUCCUACGGGAGGCAGCAGUAGGGAAUAUUGCACAAUGGAGGAAACUCUGAUGCAGCGACGCCGCGUGAGUGAUGAAGGCCUUCGGGUCGUAAAGCUCUGUCGCAGGGGAAUAACACAAUGAAUGUACCCUGUAAGAAAGGAUCGGCUAACUUCGUGCCAGCCGCCGCGGUAAAAC